GCGGAUGUAGCCAAGUGGUAAGGCAGCAGGCUUCCACCCUGCCAUCGUGGGUUCGAUCCCCAUCAUCCGCU
rnacentral:tRNA from 1 species